AGCAGUCGCCGCGGUAAUACGGAGGGUGCAAGCGUUAAUCGGAAUUACUGGGCGUAAAGCGCACGCAGGCGGUCUGACAAGUCAGAUGUGAAAUCCCCGGGCUUAACCUGGGAACUGCAUUUGAAACUGUUAGGCUGGAGUCUUGUAGAGGGGGGUGGAAUUCCAGGUGUAGCGGUGAAAUGCGUAGAGAUCUGGAGGAAUACCGGUGGCGAAGGCGGCCCCCUGGACAAAGACUGACGCUCAGGUGCGAAAGCGUGGGGAGCAAACAGGAUUAGAUACCCGCGUAGUCCCUGUCUCUUAUAC
rnacentral:rRNA from 1 species